rnacentral:tRNA from 1 species
GCUCGCGUGGUGUAGUGGUUAUCACUGUGGACUUUGAAUCUACCAACCCGAGUUCGAGUCUCGGCGUGAGCU